GGGUGUGUUCAGACUCCCCUCCAGUAGAUUCCCACUACCCAACCCAGGCGGCUGGAUGGUUUGAGGGACCCAGCUUAUGCCCUGAAGCAAGGAGCCUACCCCAUGGAGAACUUGUUGUUAGGAAGAACUUGUCACAGAGAUUCACACUCCACCUUCCCCUCUCUUCUUCCUUCCCUUGAGUUGUAUGGGGAAGAGGUAAAGUAAAACAGCAAAGUUCCUUCCUGCAGGAUUAGGAUCCAGAUGCUGAACUCUCAUGAAACACAUGUGUGGAUUCUUUGAAGGACUCCACUGGGACCUGAGCCCUGAGUAGUUGCCUGUUGUGGGAGGUGCCACCAAGACAGCUCAACGCAUCCACUCUCUAUGACAUCCCCUCAGUUCUCAUAGACCAACAAUGGGAUAUUUGUCAUGCCCAGUGGUGAGAAUGCCACUGCUUCUCUCAGUCCUGUCUUCUCUCUCCUGCCUCUUUC
ensembl:lncRNA